GCUGGGCGUGGUGGCGCAUGCCUGUAAUCCCAGCACUCGGGAGGCUGAGGCAAGAGGAUCGCUGUGAGUUCGAGACCAGCCUGGGCUACACAGUGAGUUCCAGGGCAGUCUCAACUACAUAGUGAGACCCUCUCUCUAAAUAUAUAUAUAUUUAGAGAGAGGGUCUCACUAUGUAGCCCAGGCUGGCCUUGAACUUGAGGUGAUACCUCCUGCCUCA
rnacentral:sRNA from 1 species